GACGAACGCUGGCGGCGUGCCUAAUACAUGCAAGUAGGACGCUGAAGGAGGAGCUUGCUUCUCUGGAUGAGUUGCGAACGGGUGAGUAACGCGUAGGUAACCUGCCUGGUAGCGGGGGAUAACUAUUGGAAACGAUAGCUAAUACCGCAUAAUAGUAGAUGUUGCAUGACAUUUGCUUAAAAGGUGCAAUUGCAUCACUACCAGAUGGACCUGCGUUGUAUUAGCUAGUUGGUGGGGUAACGGCUCACCUAGGCGACGAUACAUAGCCGACCUGAGAGGGUGAUCGGCCACACUGGGACUGAGACACGGCCCAGACUCCUACGGGAGGCAGCAGUAGGGAAUCUUCGGCAAUGGACGGAAGUCUGACCGAGCAACGCCGCGUGAGGGAAGAAGGGUUUCGGAUCGUAAAGCUCUGUUGUAAGAGAAGAAAGAGUGUGAGAGUGGAAAGUUCACACUGUGACGGUAUCUUACCAGAAAGGGACGGCUAACUACGUG
rnacentral:rRNA from 1 species